rnacentral:lncRNA from 1 species
UGAUCAGGCUGGUCUCGAACACCUGACCUUGUGAUCCACCCACCUCCGCCUCCCCAAGUG